AAAUAUUCCAGUACUUGUACCACUGCGAUGGAGAGACGGAAAAACGUAAAUGCGGCGUACUGACAGAAUAGUACGUUAAAGCCCGUAGGGUUACCUUUGGUUGGCAAAUCCGCCAGAGGUCUGAAAGGUGAUAGUACCCUGAGUCGUCAGACAAGGGGAUAAGCAUCCAAGUAUGUUCCCAAGAAAAUCUUCUAAGCUUCAGGUGAGUACAACCCGUACCGCAAACCGACACAGGUAGUCAAGUAGAAGAUACUAAGGCGCUCGAGUGAUCCGUGGCUAAGGAACUAGGCAAAUUAACCCCGUAACUUCGGGAUAAGGGGUGCCUCGCGCAAGCGAGGCCGCAGAGAAAUGGCGGUGGCGACUGUUUAACAAAAACACAGGGCUUUGCGAAAACGAAAGUUGAAGUAUAAGGCCUGACACCUGCCCGGUGCUGGAAGGUUAAGAGGAGAGGUUAGUCGCAAGACAAAGCUUUGAAUUGAAGCCCCAGUAAACGGCGGCCGUAACGAUAACGGUCCUAAGGUAGCGAAAUUCCUUGUCGGGUAAGUUCCGACCUGCACGAAUGGUGUAACGAUCUCCGCUCUGUCUCAGCCACGAGCUCGGUGAAAUUGUGGUAUCAGUGAAGACGCUGAUUACCCGCAACGGGACGGAAAGACCCCAUGCACCUUUACUAUAGUUUAACAUUGAUUUCGGGUAAGUGAUGUGUAGGAUAGGUGGGAGGCUUUGAAGCUGUGGCGCUAGCCAUGGUGGAGCCAAUGUUGAAAUACCACCCUUUACUUACUUGGAGUCAAACUCUGCAAAGAGGACAUUGUUUGAUGGGUAGUUUGACUGGGGUGGUCGCCUCCGAAAGGGUAUCGGAGGCUUUCAAAGGUUAGCUCAUUACGCUUGGUAACCGUAAUUUAGAGUGCAAUAGCAUAAGCUAGCUUGACUGUGAGGCCGACAAGCCAAGCAGGGUCGAAAGACGGAUAUAGUGAUCCGGUGGUUCCGCAUGGAAGGGCCAUCGCUCACGAUAAAAGGUACGCUGGAUAACAGGCUGAUCCCUCCCAAGAGCUCACAUCGACGGGGGGGUUUGGCACCUCGAUGUCGGCUCGUCACAUCCUGGGGCUGGAGAAGGUCCCAAGGGUUCGGCUGUUCGCCGAUUAAAGUGGCACGCGAGCUGGGUUCAGAACGUCGUGAGACAGUUCGGUCCCUAUCUGUUGUGGGCGUUAGAAAAUUGAGGGGCGCUGACUCUAGUACGAGAGGACGAGUCGGACGAACCGCUGGUAUACCUGUUGUGGAGCUAAUCUGCACCGCAGGGUAGCCAUGUUCGGAUGAGAUAAGCGCUGAAAGCAUCUAAGUGCGAAACUCACCUCAAGAUAAGUUUUCUUUACAAGGAUCCUGGAAGAUGACCAGGUUGAUAGGCUAUAGAUGUACAGUCAGUAAUGGCAAAGUCAAGUAGUACUAAUUAUCC
rnacentral:rRNA from 1 species